CCGGAUGCUACUUAAAGGGUAGAAAGGUUGGAGUGAGAUGUCGACAAGUUCUGUCAUGAUCGCUGGGGUACAUUCCGCGUCUCACCUGCACAGGGGCCCGAAAGUUCGCACGCGCCUGGUCGCUCGCUGGUCCAGGCUGCAAGGCUCUCUGCUUUUUUGGCUUUCCGCAGUGUCCCCUAUUGUGGUGGAAAGCGCUCUGGAAACUCGACGAUUUCCGCUCCAGUCUCGACGGAGGAAGUGUGAUACAGUGAAGUUUCGACUGGAUCGCCAUUCGGACUCCUGCUGUGGCUCGCAUUUUCCGUUUGCCGCAGUGUAUUCCUCUCGGUGACAGAAGCUGAUUCAGCUAUUCCGCGAAAUUACUGCCGCUGCGAGAAGAGGAGUGCUUUCAAGUUUACAUACACCCCGCUUGCAGUCUGAUGAGUUCGUGCUUGAGACAUGCGGUGUCACUUUUGGUCUCCUGUCCUCCGUGUUGCCAACGGAGUCUGUUCCCAGGUCUGCACACUUAAACCCUUAUCAAAUUCGACCGUUCCGUGAUUCUCUAAGCGGUGGACUCCCGAAAUUGGAACUUUCGUUCCACAGAUCGUGUUUCUGAUGCAGACGACUGCCAGUUAAAGAUGUAAAUAUACGAGCGAGACUCAGGAGUGGUGGCGGCUGGCCCUCCUGCGUCCGUUCCGUUCGCGUAGAUCGUGUGCGUGAGACACAGCGUUUGCAGGAACACCAACUUUUUUGCUAUUCGCUCCUUGCAGUUUUUAUUUCCAUGCUUUCCGCUACUCACACGGUCUGCUGAGUGCAGUGCACUUUGCGAUCCAACCUUCCUUCGACCGGUUCAGCGUUCGUGUCCCGUGUCUUCGGCAUCCGUUUCACGUUAUUAUCUCCCUUGCUCUUCCCUCUCCGUUGUUUCCUGUGACGGUUGGAAUCGCGCUCUUCAAACGUCUCAGUUUCACCAGGGUACCGGCCCCGCACUUUCUUUCCCUUUAUCUCCGGUUGAAGAAAGCUCCGUUGCACCGAGGCAAAAUUUCGG
rnacentral:lncRNA from 1 species